CCUGCGUGCCGCGGCCCGGAGUGCAGUGAAAUUCCUGGCGGGCGGGGGGAGGAGGAGGUGGUGGUGCUGAGGAGGAGGAGAAGAAGAAGGGAGGCUGGGAGCCACGGCCGCGCGCCCCUGCCAGGGACCCUGCGUGCUGUGGCAGCGGCCGGCACGGAGCCAGACCCCCGGGGGGCGCGGCGCGGUGCGGACGGGCUGAGGGCCACUCGCCGCCGCCUCGGGCUCUCGCAGCACCAAGAGCCGCGCCGUCCCCGCCGCAGCUGGGACUCCCUCCCCGGGCAGAGAGGGGGAGAAUGACGGAGCUCCAGUCCGCCUUGCUACUGCGGAGACAACUAGCAGAGCUCAACAAAAAUCCAGUGGAAGGCUUUUCAGCAGGCUUAAUAGAUGACAAUGAUCUUUAUCGAUGGGAAGUCCUUAUUAUUGGUCCUCCAGAUACACUAUAUGAAGGUGGUGUUUUCAAGGCUCAUCUUACUUUUCCAAAAGACUAUCCACUGAGGCCGCCAAAAAUGAAAUUCAUCACGGAAAUCUGGCAUCCAAAUGUUGACAAGAACGGUGAUGUCUGCAUUUCAAUUCUUCAUGAGCCUGGAGAAGACAAAUAUGGAUAUGAAAAACCUGAGGAACGCUGGCUUCCCAUUCACACAGUGGAAACUAUAAUGAUUAGUGUUAUUUCUAUGCUGGCAGAUCCCAAUGGCGAUUCUCCUGCUAAUGUUGAUGCAGCGAAAGAAUGGAGAGAAGACAGAAAUGGAGAAUUUAAAAGGAAAGUUGCCCGCUGUGUAAGAAAAAGCCAAGAAACUGCUUUUGAGUGACACUUAUUCAGCAGCUAGUAGCUUCACUUUUUUCAGGGCAAAAAACCCCCCAAACCUCUCUCCUCAGUCGCAUGAUCUCAGUGGACUUCUUUGGCUGUCUCCAAUUGAGAAACAUGGCACUGUUUUUUUUUCCUGCACUCUACCCACCUAUUGCUGGACUUCUGUUGUUACAAGUUGGCAAACACUGGCUGGAACUGGGCUGCAAUAAAACAUGCCAGUUAUCAAUGCUGACAAGAGCCUAACAAGUGCCAACACAAGAUGAUUACACAUUUUGAAAUCUAACGAACUGCUUUAACCUUCAGGAAGAAUUGUAAAGAUGUGUACAUAGCACAACAUGAUCCGGAUAAUAUAUAUACUGUUCAUGUACAUCCACAAAUACACAUUGUACCAAAUAAUGCUGUCUGUAGUUAGGAAUAGAUUCGUGUAAAUUCUAAAGAUUUUAGCAGGUUUUUCUCUCCCUAUUCAUUGUUUCCUCUCAGUUUAAAAGACAAACCAACAACACCUUGUGAAGCAUGUCAGACUAAAACUGAUUAGGACAAAGUUGGGGUUUUGUGUUGUUUUUUUUCUCCUCUGCUUUAAUUUUCCUUUGACCCACUGAGGCUUAAUUAAAAUCUCUUGCUUAUUCAA